GUCUACGGCCAUACCACCCUGAACGCACCCGAUCUCGUCUGAUCUCGGAAGCUAAGCAGUGUCGGGCCUGGUUAGUACUCGGAUGGAAUAAGUCCUAGCAUGCACGUGCAUGCACA
ensembl:rRNA 5S_rRNA 5S ribosomal RNA